rnacentral:misc_RNA from 1 species
CGUCAGUUCGAGAACCACUUCGGCGCGACGAGGGUGCCGCUGGAGCGCAAUUACCGCUCGGCGCCGCGUCUCGUGAAGACCAGUCGGUGGUCCCGAAGGCGCUGGACCCGAAGGCGGUCGAGGCGGUCGC